rnacentral:rRNA from 1 species
AAGGAAGACUGUUCUAUGAAUUGUAAACUUCUUUUGUGGUAGAGUAAAUAUAGCUACGUGUAGUUAUUUGCAAGUAUACCAUGAAUAAGCAUCGGCUAACUCCGUGCCAGCAGCCGCGGUAAUACGGAGGAUGCAGGCGUUAUCCGGAUUUAUUAGGUUUAAAGGGUGUCUAGGCUGCCACAUAAGUCAGAGGUGAAAGUCGGUUGCUCAACAAUCGAAUUGCCUUUGAAACUGUGUGGCUCGAAUAUAGAUGAGGUAGGCGGAAUGUGUAGUGUAGCGGUGAAAUGCAUAGAUAUUACACAGAACACCAAUUGCGAAGGCAGCUUACCAAACUACUAUUGACGCUGAAGCACGAAAGCGUGGGUAGCGAACAGGAUUAGAUACCCUGGUAGUCCACGCCGUAAACUAUGCUCACUCGCUGUUGGCAAUACAUGGUCAGCGGCUAAGGGAAACCGAUAAGUGAGCCACCUGGGGAGUACGAUCGCAAGAUUGAAACUCAAAGGAAUUGACGGGGGCCCGCACAAGCGGAGGAACAUGUGGUUUAAUUCGAUGAUACGCGAGGAACCUUACCUGGGCUUAAAUGUAGAGUGCAUUACUUAGAAAUAGGUAUUUCCUUCGGGACUCUUUACAAGGUGCUGCAUGGUUGUCGUCAGCUCGUGCCGUGAGGUGUCGGGUUAAGUCCCAUAACGAGCGCAACCCCUAUUGUUAGUUACCAGCGCGUAAAGGCGGGGACUCUAGCGAAACUGCCGGUGUAAACCGCGAGGAAGGUGGGGAUGACGUCAAAUCAGCACGGCCCUUAUGUCCAGGGCUACACACGUGUUACAAUGGCCGGUACAGUGGGCAGCCACAUAGCGAUAUGGAGCUAAUCUCAAAAGCCGGUCUCAGUUCGGAUUGGAGUCUGCAACCCGACUCCAUGAAGGUGGAUUCGCUAGUAAUCGCGCAUCAGCCAUGGCGCGGUGAUACGUUCCCGGGCCUUGUCACACCGCCCGUCAAGCCAUGGA